AUACUUGCUUGGCAGCAGAGAUAUCAUGAUUAUGAAAGGGCAUCUUUCCAGGACAAGGCUUAUUCACUGCACUUGAAUCUGCUGACCUCUGUGAUUUUUCAAAAUAUGGGAAACUCCACAACAUUAUUUGUGAAAGUAGGGGACUGCAUUCACACUUUCCAG